rnacentral:misc_RNA from 1 species
GAAACUAAAGGAAGCAAGAGGGAUACAAAUUUAAUAUAGUAUUACUUGUCAAACAUGAAUGCAAAGGUGUAAGGAAGGCAAAAGUGGGAGCCAGAGCUUAUAGUUUAGAAGAGAAAAUAUGACAAUAUAAAAUACUGUAAUAAAUGUCAUAACACAGAGGGUGAGGUAGCUAAUAGUUAAUAACCCUAAAAAUCCAAAAUUAUGUGCCCACGCAUAACUUUGAUCUAAACUAGAAAAAUAGCAAAUUGUAGCAUGAUAUUAACUAUGAGUGGCAAUUGAAGCCAAAGUGCUGCUGAGAGAUGGCCAUGAUUGAAACUUAUAAUUAAAGAUCUUAUUGUAACUGGCUACUUCUGUAGUUCAGGUCACAGAUAUUGAUGUAAAGGAACACUUUUUGGGUGAUCAUCCCAUUGGUUAAUGAUUUACAUAUGGAUUACUGCUAUUAAUUAUAAAUGAGACACCACAGCAAUCCACAGUAAAGAGAUUCCAUACAAUUUCUAAUAUUUAGUUCAGACUGCUUAGGCUAAAAAUGGUAAUAAAAGGAAUUCACAUUAAUACUCCAGCAGGCUAUCCUUCAACUUCUAUUUGCAUGCUCUUAUUUUCUACAAUUUGUUCACACAUCACAGCAUAUGAUGCACAUCCUAGGGACACAGAUUUAA